rnacentral:rRNA from 1 species
GACGAACGCUGGCGGCGUGCUUAACACAUGCAAGUCGAACGGAAAGGCCCUGCUUUUGUGGGGUGCUCGAGUGGCGAACGGGUGAGUAACACGUGAGUAACCUGCCCUUGACUUUGGGAUAACUUCAGGAAACUGGGGCUAAUACCGGAUAGGAGCUCCUGCUGCAUGGUGGGGGUUGGAAAGUUUCGGCGGUUGGGGAUGGACUCGCGGCUUAUCAGCUUGUUGGUGGGGUAGUGGCUUACCAAGGCUUUGACGGGUAGCCGGCCUGAGAGGGUGACCGACCACAUUGGGACUGAGAUACGGCCCAGACUCCUACGGGAGGCAGCAGUGGGGAAUAUUGCACAAUGGGCGGAAGCCUGAUGCAGCAACGCCGCGUGCGGGAUGACGGCCUUCGGGUUGUAAACCGCCUUCGCCUGUGACGAAGCGUGAGUGACGGUAAUGGGUAAAGAAGCACCGGCUAACUACGUG